AUACGUAGGGGGCGAGCGUUGUCCGGAAUGAUUGGGCGUAAAGGGCGCGUAGGCGGCCCGGUAAGUCUGGAGUGAAAGUCCUGUUUUUAAGAUGGGAAUUGCUUUGGAUACUGUCGGGCUUGAGUGCAGGAGAGGUAAGUGGAAUUCCCCGUGUAGCGGUGAAAUGCGUAGAGAUUGGGAGGAACACCAGUGGCGAAGGCGACUUACUGGACUGUAACUGACGCUGAGGCGCGAAAGUGUGGGGAGCAAACAGGAUUAGAUACCCUGGUAGUCCACGCUGUAAACGAUGAUGACUAGGUGUGGGGGGACUGAACCCUUCCGUGCCGCAGUUAACACAAUAAGUAUUCCACCUGGGGAGUACGUUCGCAAGAAUGAAACUCAAAGGAAUUGGCGGGG
rnacentral:rRNA from 1 species